UGGGGAAUAUUGCACAAUGGGCGCAAGCCUGAUGCAGCCAUGCCGCGUGUGUGAAGAAGGCCUUCGGGUUGUAAAGCACUUUCAGCGAGGAGGAAGGUGGUGGACUUAAUACGUUCAUCAAUUGACGUUACUCGCAGAAGAAGCACCGGCUAACUCCGUGCCAGCAGCCGCGGUAAUACGGAGGGUGCAAGCGUUAAUCGGAAUUACUGGGCGUAAAGCGCACGCAGGCGGUUUGUUAAGUCAGAUGUGAAAUCCCCGGGCUCAACCUGGGAACUGCAUUUGAAACUGGCAAGCUAGAGUCUCGUAGAGGGGGGUAGAAUUCCAGGUGUAGCGGUGAAAUGCGUAGAGAUCUGGAGGAAUACCGGUGGCGAAGGCGGCCCCCUGGACGAAGACUGACGCUCAGGUGCGAAAGCGUGGGGAGCAAACAGAUUAGAUACCCUGGUAGUCAGCGCUGUAAACGAUGUCGAUUUUGGAGGUUGUGCCCUGAGGCGUGGNUUCCGGAGCUAACGCGUUAAAUCGACCGCCUGGGGAGUACGGCCNCAAGGUUAAAACU
rnacentral:rRNA from 1 species